GGGGUAGCUCAGAUGGUAGAGCACUGGAUUUAGAAUCCAAGUUUCAGAGCUUUGAUCCCUGCCAAGACCA